rnacentral:rRNA from 1 species
CCUACGGGAGGCAGCAGUGGGGAAUAUUGCACAAUGGGGGGAACCCUGAUGCAGCGACGCCGCGUGAGUGAAGAAGUAUUUCGGUAUGUAAAGCUCUAUCAGCAGGGAAGAAAAUGACGGUACCUGACUACGAAGCCCCGGCUAACUACGUGCCAGCAGCCGCGGUAAUACGUAGGGGGCAAGCGUUAUCCGGAUUUACUGGGUGUAAAGGGAGCGCAGACGGCUGUGCAAGUCUGGAGUGAAAGGCGGGGGCCCAACCCCCGGACUGCUCGGGAAACUGUAAAGCUGGAGUGCAGGAGAGGUAAGCGGAAUUCGUAGUGUAGCGGUGAAAUGCGUAGAUAUUAGGAGGAACACCAGUGGCGAAGGCGGCUUACUGGACUGCAACUGACGUUGAGGCUCGAAAGCGUGGGGAGCAAACAGGAUUAGAUACCCUUGUAGUC